rnacentral:sRNA from 1 species
UACAUUUCGUAUCUACGGCAGGAAGUGCCGAAAGUUACGCCUUUGGAUAUAUGAUGUGUGAGACCUGUAGGGAAUGCGUUGGAGCUUUCAACUCUGUAAAAUCCC